UACGUAGGGGCCGAGCGUUGUCCGGAGUUACUGGGCGUAAAGCGCGCGCAGGCGGCCACUUAAGCCCGGCGUGAAAGCCCCCGGCUCAACCGGGGAGGGUCGUCGGGGACUGGGUGGCUUGAGGACGGCAGGGGCUGGUGGAAUCCCCGGUGUAGUGGUGAAAUGCGUAGAGAUCGGGGGGAACACCCGUGGCGAAGGCGGCCAGCUGGGCCGGUCCUGACGCUGAGGCGCGAAGGCGUGGGGAGCGAACGGG
rnacentral:rRNA from 2 species